GACGAACGCUGGCGGCGUGCUUAACACAUGCAAGUCGAACGGAAAGGCCCUGCGCUUGUGGGGUGCUCGAGUGGCGAACGGGGGAGUAAAACGUGAGUAACCCGUCCCUGACUUUGGGAUAAAAUCAGGAAACUGGGGCUAAUACCGGAGAGGAGCUCUUGAUGCACGGGGGGGGUUGGAAAGUGUCGGCGGUUGGGGAUGGAAUCGCGGGUUAUCAGCUGGUUGGGGGGGUAGGGGCUUACCACGGUUUUGACGGGUAGCCGGCCUGGGAGGGUGGCCGGCCACAUUAGGACUAAGGUAGGGCCCAGACUCCUACGGGAGGCAGCGGUGGGGAAUAUUGCACAAUGGGCGGAAGCCUGAUGCAGCAACGCCGCGUGCGGGAUGCCGGCCUUCGGGUGGUAAACCGCUUUCGACUGUGACGAAGCGUGAGUGACGGUAAUGGGUAAAGAAGCACCGGCUAACUACGUG
rnacentral:rRNA from 1 species